rnacentral:rRNA from 1 species
GGAUGAACGCUGGCGGCGUGCCUACUACAUGCAAGUCGAGCGAACGGACGAGAAGCUUGCUUCUCUGAUGUUAGCGGCGGACGGGUGAGUAACACGUGGAUAACCUACCUAUACGACUGGGAUAACUUCGGGAAACCGUAGCUAAUUCCGGAUAAUAUUUUGAACCGCAUGGUUCAAAAGUGAAAGACGUUCUUGCUGUCACUUAUAGAUGGAUCCGCGCUGCAUUAGCUAGUUGGUAAGGUAACGGCUUACCAAGGCAACGAUGCAUAGCCGACCUGAGAGGGUGAUCGGCCACACUGGAACUGAGACACGGUCCAGACUCCUACGGGAGGCAGCAGUAGGGAAUCUUCCGCAAUGGGCGAAAGCCUGACGGAGCAACGCCGCGUGAGUGAUGAAGGUCUUCGGAUCGUAAAACUCUGUUAUUAGGGAAGAACAUAUGUGUAAGUAACUGUGCACAUCUUGACGGUACCUAAUCAGAAAGCCACGGCUAACUACGUG